rnacentral:rRNA from 1 species
GACCUCAAAUCAGGUAGGAACACCCGCUGAACUUAAGCAUAUCAAUAAGCGGAGGAAAAGAAAAUAACAAUGAUUCCCCUAGUAACUGCGAGUGAAGAGGGACAAGCUCAAAUUUUAAAUCUAUCGGGUUUUACCUGAUCGAGUUGUAAUUUGAAGAUGGCGUUUUCUGUGUUUCUGAUCAGUCCAAGUCCUUUGGGAUAAGGCAUCAUGGAGGGUGAGAAUCCCGUUCGGUUGAUCAGAUUCGCUUUACGAUACGUUAUCAAAGAGUCAAGUUGUUUGGGAUUGCAGCUUAAAAUGGGAGGUAAAUUUCUCCUAAGGCUAAAUAACGGCGAGAGACCGAUAGCGAACAAGUACCGUGAGGGAAAGAUGAAAAGAACUUUGAAAAGAGAGUUAAACAGUACGUGAAAUUGUUGAAAGGGAAACGAUUGAAGCCAGUCGUACCUUCGGGUAAUCAGCCUUUUGGGUGUGAUUUUGUGGAGCGUGAAGAGUUAAACGCCUUCAUGCUUGCAUAUUCGUGCACUUUGGGUGUACUUGCCCGUAUGGUUGGUUAACAUCAAUUUUGGUGGUCAUAAAAUGACUGGAGGAAUGUAGCUUCGAUCUCGUAUUGAAGUAUUAUAGCCUUCGGUAGAUGUGAUGAUCGAGAUUGAGGAUUGCAACGGAUACCCUUCGGGGCUACCUGUCUGAUCUCUGAUCGUUGCUCUGGUACCGAAAGCUUGCUUACGGUUAUCAAAGUCGAUGGUCAAUAGGUUAGAACGGGUUAAGUUCGUUAAGGAUGUUGACGUAAUGGCUUUAAACGACCCGUCUUGAAACACGGACCA